GGACCCAAAAGUCCCAACUUUGUAACUCUGAAUCAUGCAUAACACAUAUCACAAUAAAUCACAACACAUAAACAACAUGCAAAUACACUGGCAUAUAUCUCUAUAGUACUCUGUCACAUAACUCUGUUACCACACUAGGUAAAGUAUAAUGAGAAGACUCACCUCAGGCGUCUCGGUAAAUCUCUACUCGAUGGAAAAUAUUGCCGAGUUCCUCCACAAAUUCCAAAAUAAAUAAAUAAAUUAAUAUACUUGGAAAUUCAGGAUGUUACAAUUCUCCCCCACUAGAAUCCGACUUCGCCCUCGAAGUCUCAAUCUGAAAACAACUCUGGAUGCUGCUCACGCAUCUCGCGCUCCGACUCCCAAGUAGGCUCUGACCCUUUCCGGUGUUGCCACUGGACCUCCACCAGAGGCACCUCUUUGUUCCUCAGAACCUUGAUCUUCCGAUNNNNNNNNNNNNNNNNNNNCACCGGUCUCUCAGCAUAAUUCAGGCUCGCAUCCACCUGAAUAUCCUCCAAUGGUACCACUGCUAACUCAUCGGCUAUACACUUUCGCAACUGCGACACGUGGAAAGUGUCAUGGAUCUGUCCCAAAUCUACAGGUAGCUCCAACCGGUAGGCUACCCUGCCUACCCUUGCAAUCACCCGAAAAGGACCAAUAUAUCGGGGCCCCAACUUGCCCUCUUCCCGAAUCAGAUCACUCCUUUCCAAGGAGAGACCUUCAGGAGUACAAAGUCGCCGACCUGGAACUCGAGCUCGGACCGGCACGUGUCCGCAUAAAUCUUCUGACGACUCUGAGCGGUCAAGAACCUCUGCCUGACCUGUUGUAUCUGCUCAGUCGUCUGAAGCACGAUCUCGGUACUACCCAUAACACGUUGCCCGACCUCUCCCCAGCAAAUGGGGGUCUGACACCUUCUCCCAUACAACAGCUCAAAGGGUGGCAUACCAAUGCUCGAAUGAUGGCUGUUGUUGUAAGAAAACUCUGCCAAGGGAAAAUACAUGUCCCAACUCCCACCGGAAUCCAACACACAUGCCCGGAGCAUAUCCUCGAGCGUCUGAAUCGUCCGCUCGCUCUGUCCGUCAGUAUGGAGAUGGUAUGCGGUACUAAAAUGCAGCCUAGUACCCAAUUCCUCAUGAAAUUUCUUCCAGAAUCUGGAAGUGAAACACACAUCUCGGUCUGAGACAAUCGAGAUCGGCACCCCAUGCUGUGAUACCACCUCCCUCACGUACAUCUCGGCCAACUUCUCUGCGGAAGAGCUCUCGCUGAUAGCAAGGAAGUGGGCGCUCUUUGUCAACCUUUCCACAAUCACCCAAAUUGCAUCGACUCCCCUAGCAGUCCUUGGCAAUUUGGUGAUUAAAUCCAUGGUAAUCUGUUCCCACUUCCAUUCGGGAACCUCCAACGGCUGCAACUUACCAUGCGGUCUUUGGUGCUCGGCCUUAACCCUACGACAGGUCAAGCACCUCUCAACAAACCACGCGACAUCUCUCUUCAUACAAGGCCACCAAUACUCUCUCUUCAGAUCUAAAUACAUCUUAGUGGCCCCAGGAUGGAUCGAGAACUUCGAUCGAUGAGCCUCUUCCAUCAAAAUGGUACGCGUCCCGCCCACCAACGGUACCCAAAUACGACCCUCAAAUGUCAUAAGCCCCCGGCUGUCGGUAACGAACUCCGAUACCAUCCCGACAACUCACUCCCUCUUUUGGUUCUCUGAUCUCACGGCCUCAGCCUGUGCCCCAUGAAUGGUGUCCAACACCGAAGCCAUCACGGUCAAUCGCAAACAUACAUCUCGCAGUGGGGCGCUCUCCGCGCUGCGGCUCAGUGCAUCGGCUACAACAUUAGCCUUACCCGGGUGGUACAGGAUCUCAUAAUCAUAAUCCUUGACCACGUCCAACCGCCUCCUCGGUCGCAUAUUUAGGUUAGUCUGAUCCAUCAAAUACUUCAGGCUCUUAUGGUCUGUGUAUAUCGUACACCGAACCCCAUAAAAUAGUGACGCCAAACCCAACACUAGAUCGUGGGUGGGAUACCUCGACUCAUGAGGCUUCAGUUGCCUCGAUGCGUAUGCUAUCACAUGCCCUCUCUGCAUCAGCACCGUUCCCAACCCCAAGAUCGACGCAUCACAAUAUAUCACAAAGUCCUGCAUUCCCUCCGGGAGGGCCAACACCGGGGCUUCGCAUAACCUUUGGCGAAGUGUCUCAAAGGAGGCCUGCUGCUGGGGGCCCCAUGAAAAAGAGACACCCUUCCAGGUCAGCCUGGUGAGUGGCACUGCGAUCUUGGAGAAAUCCCUGAUAAAUCUCUGAUAAUAGCCUGCCAACCCUAAGAAACUCCUGAUCUAGGAGGGUGACCUCGGCACCUCCCAACUCAUCACUGCCUCCACUUUGGCCGGGUCAACCAAUAUCCCUUUCUGGUUAACGAUGUGUCCUAGGAACUGGACCUCUCGCAACCAGAAAUCACACUUGGAGAAUUUGGCAUAAAGCCUCUCCGAUCUCAGAACUCCGAGGAUCUCCCUCAAAUGCUCCUCAUGUUGCUCUCUAGAUCUCGAAUACACCAAAAUGUCGUCGAUGAACACAAUCACUGACCGAUCCAACAUCGGCCUGCACACUCUGUUCAUGAGGUCUAUGAACAUUGUCGGGGCAUUGGUGAGUCCGAAAGGCAUCACCACAAACUCAUAAUGCCCAUAACGCGUCCUGAACGUUGUCUUCUGGUUGUCCUCAUCUCGCACCCUUACCUGAUGAUAUCCAAACCUCAAAUCGAUCAUGGAGAACCAAGAUGCUCCCUGCAACUGAUCGAACAAAUCGUCGAUCCUCGGCAACGGGUAACGGUUCUUGACCGUCAGCUUGUUCAACUCCCGGUAAUCAAUGCACAUCCGGUGUGAACCAUCCUUCUUCUUGACAAAAAGGAUAGGCGCUCCCCACGGUGAGCUGCUCGGCCGAAUAAACCCCUUUCCCAGCAGCUCCUGAAGCUGCAAGGAUAACUCUUGCAUCUCUCGGGGUGCAAGGCGAUAGGGCACCUUGGCGAUAGACGCGGCCCCCAGGACCAAAUCAAUACAGAACUCCACUUGCCUCACCGGAGGCACACCCGGCAACUCCUCUGGAAAUACGUCCGAGAACUCACGCACUAUCGGGACCUCCUCAACUGACCUCGGUCUCUCUGAAUCAACCCGUGUAUCCAUCACAUACGCCACAAAGCCCUUACAGCCCUGCUGUAGACACUGCCUCACCCUAGCGGCCGAAAAAAAUGCUGACCCAGAACGUGUACCCUCGCCGUACACCGUAAGAACUCCCCCACUAGGGUCUCGUAUGGUCACCAGCUGUCGCUCGCAGUCGAUAACCGCUCCGAAUCUGCUCAACCAGUCCAUGCCCACAAUGACACAGACAUCACCCAUCGCAAUAGGAAUCAAACAAUUGGGAACUCAACACCGAAAAUCUCGAACACGCACCCUCGGAUCACCUUUGUGGCAUAUAUCACCCUCUCGUCAACUAUGGAAACCCUACGAGUUCGACUCAACACCUCACGACUAACACUGAUAUGCUGACUAAAAGCCAAAGAUACAAAAGACCGACUCGCAUCCGAGUCAAAUAACACCAAGGCAGGUACAGAACUCACAAGAAAAGUACCUACGCAUAACAUAAUAUGAGCACAAAAUCUCAACAUCAAAAUAAAUAUAUGAAAGAAUACAUACCAGCCACGACACCGGGCGCUGCGCGGACAUCCUCCGCGGUCAACUGGAAGGCUCUCCCUCGUGCCCUCGGUGCCUCGGUCUUCACUGCCCGACUCUCAGUAGCUCUGAUGGCGGCAGGGGCAGAUCCCUGAGGUGCUCCCUGUGCUGAUCCCCGCAACUGCGGACACUCUGCCUUCCGGUGUCUGGUCUGGUUGCAGUGAAAACAUACUGCAAACCCCUUGGGGCAGUCCUUGGCCGUAUGCCCCUCCUUGCCACAUUUGUAGCAAGACCCUGCUCUGCACACCCCGUCGUGGCUCUUGCNCCCGCCCUUGCCACAGGUGCGGCCCCUCUGGCUCCCUGAUCUCGAAUCGGCGGGCUUGGCCCGCUUGGCUACCGGCUAAGACUGCACCGGUCGCCGAUCCCCCCCCUGAGACUCAGCCUCCUCCCUAGCCUGAGUCUCCAGCUCUAUCUCCCUCUUCCGGGCAUUCGCCUGAAGCUCAGAAAAUGUUCGGUACGUCGAUUUUGCCACGAACUCACGUAUAUCCCUCCUCAGAAUGCUCAAAUAUCGACUUAUAUGUGCCUGCUCGGAGGACACGUGCUCUGGGCAGAACAUCGCCCGCUCAUGAAACAUCCUCGUAAUCACCGUAACAGACUCUGUACCCUGCUUGAGGGUCAAAAACUCUUGUCCCAAACGCUCCCUCUCCAGCUGGGGAACGUACUCAUCUUGGAACAUGGCAGUGAACCUCUCCCAGGUCACUGUCGCAAGCUCAGCAGGCGUAUAGUGCACCGUCACAAACUUCCACCAGUCCUUCGCUCCCAAGCGAAGCUGGUUCAGCGUGAACCGGACUCUCAAAUGCUCAGGGGAUGAGCAAGUAAAGAAAAACCCCUCUAUGUCUGAAAUCCAUCUAAUCGCCGCAAUCGGGUCCUGGGUCCCGUCAAACUCCGGUGGUUUUGUGUUGCUGAACUCUCGGAACAGCAACGCGUCACCACCCUACGGCCUCGUCGCAGCUAUAGCUGUAGUGGCCACAACAACAGCAGCCUUAGAAAGAGCAGCAUACUUUUCAUCAAAUGUCUCUAUCAACGUGGUCUUGAUAGACCCGAACAUCUCUGGUAUCUCUGCCCUGAUGGCGGCAGCCACCUCCUCCUGGAUGAUCCUACGGAUCUCCUCAUCCCUCGUAUCGCUGAUCCCUGUUGUGUGGCGAGUCCCAACCAUGAUAUCUCUCUCUGAAAAUACAACAUAAGAAUAAAUAUCAGGGACUCGCUUGAUUAUACUUACACUCGAAUACUAUCUCUCUCUGAAAAUACAACAUAAGAAUAAAUAUCAGGGACUCACUUGAGUAUACUUACACUCGAAUACUCCAUCCUACUUGUCCCUUGGUACCCCGAGGAUUCUUACUUGGGUUAUGCACUGACCCGGUGUCUUCAGUAGUACGGGCCCAAUACUACUGUCCACACCGCAUCAGCAUUCACCCCAAGUCCUCCUCCCAGAGUCCUAAGUCCCAAGCACUCUACUCUCUCUAAUCCUAUGAUACUCGCAAACAGAUCUCUCUCACAACUUCCUCGAUGCUACCUGAACACUCUGAAAUAUUCCUAGCAGUAAGACUCCUAGACUCAGGUAUCACAUAUCAGGCCACUCUAGUCCUAAUAAGAAUACCUAGUCUACUCUAGCAUGCAUAACAUAGCUCAUCAUAUAAUAUAUCACAUCAUAUCUUAUAACGCGUAUAGUAAUGGUAAUUUGGGAAAUCACCGUUCGGGCGCUGGCUGUUCAUACACACGACUCUGAUCUCUUUGUCUCGUAAGUUCUUCUUUUGAAAACUUGUUUUAUUAAAAAAAUUUCCUCAAAUCCUCGGUUUGAGUUUAGAUACGCCUGAAGGUGCACCCGAAUCCCUCAAACCAAGGCUCUGAUUCCAAAUUGUAACACCGUAAAAAUUAAAACAAUUUUUUUUCGCAUUUUCAAACACAUUUUUACAAACCCCUUUAUUCAUAAAAUGCCAUAACAUUGUAAGCAUAAGCUUAGUGAGUUCCCCAAAAUACCACUCUAACACAUAAUAGCCACUCGAGGCUGUAACUCUGUUGACCCUCUGAUCAAUGUGUCUCAGUGGGGCCCUCCAGCCCCAACUCUCUAUGGGCCCUCUGGCCCUAACUCUAGGGACCUGAAAGUCCCAACUCUGUAACUCUGAAUCAUGCAUAACACAUAUCACAAUAAAUCACAACACAUAAACAACUUGCAAAUACAUUGGCAUAUAUCUCUAUAGUACUCUAUCACAUAACUCUGUUACCACACUAGGUAAAGUAUAUUGAGAAGACUCACCUCAAGCGUCUCGGUAAAUCUCUGACUCGAUGGAAAAUAUUGCCUAGCCUCCGCCUAUUCACAAAAUAAAUACUCUUAUAAAUAUAACUCUCGAGACUAGACUCAACCUGCCAUUGGCACCCUC
rnacentral:lncRNA from 1 species